UGAGGAAUAUUGGGCAAUGCCCGCAAGGGUGACCCAGCAACGCCGCGUGGAGGAUGAAUGUCGUAAGAUUGUAAACUCCUGUUAGAGGGGAAGAAUAGUACCGGUUGGACCGGUAUAUGACUGUACCCUCAGAGAAAGCCCCGGCUAACUACGUGCCAGCAGCCGCGGUAAUACGUAGGGGCAAGCGUUGUCCGGAUUUACUGGGUGUAAAGGGCGCGCAGGCGGGAUAAAAAGUCAGUGGUGAAAUCCUACAGCUUAACUGUAGAACUGCCUUUGAUACUUUUAUUCUUGAGUUCGGGAGAGAGAGACGGAAUUCCAGGUGUAGUGGUGAAAUACGUAGAUAUCUGGAAGAACACCAGUUGCGAAGGCGGUCUCUUGGUCCGACACUGACGCUGAGGCGCGAAAGCGUGGGGAGCAAAC
rnacentral:rRNA from 1 species